rnacentral:rRNA from 1 species
GUGGGGAAUAUUGGACAAUGGGCGCAAGCCUGAUCCAGCCAUGCCGCGUGAGUGAUGAAGGCCUUAGGGUUGUAAAGCUCUUUCAGUGGGGACGAUAAUGACGGUACCCACAGAAGAAGCCCCGGCUAAUUUCGUGCCAGCAGCCGCGGUAAUACGAAGGGGGCUAGCGUUGUUCGGAUUUACUGGGCGUAAAGCGCACGUAGGCGGAUCGUUAAGUCGGGGGUGAAAUCCUGGAGCUCAACUCCAGAACUGCCUUCGAUACUGGCGAUCUUGAGUCCGGAAGAGGUGAGUGGAACUCCUAGUGUAGAGGUGGAAUUCGUAGAUAUUAGGAAGAACACCAGUGGCGAAGGCGGCUCACUGGUCCGGUACUGACGCUGAGGUGCGAAAGCGUGGGGAGCAAACAGGAUUAGAUACCCUUGUAGUCC